ensembl:lncRNA
GUGUCAUUUGACCAGAGCCAAUCGGGAAUAGGGUGACAUUUGACCAGAGCCAAUAGGGAAUAGGGUGUCAUUUGACCAGAGCCAAUAGGGAAUAGGGUGUCAUUUGACCAGAGCCAAUAGGGAAUAGGGUGUCAUUUGACCAGAGCCAAUAGGGAAUAGGGUGUCAUUUGACCAGAGCCAAUAGGGAAUAGGGUGCCAUUUGACCAGAGCCAAUAGGGAACAGUGUGUCAUUUGACCAGAGUCAAUAGGGAACAGGGUGUCAUUUGACCAGAGCCAAUAGGGAAUAGGGUGCCAUUUGACCAGAGCCAAUAGGGAAUAGGGUGCCAUUUGACCAGAGCCAAUAGGGAACAGGGUGUCAUUUGACCAGAGCCAAUAGGGAACAGGGUGUCAUUUGACCAGAGUCAAUAGGGAAUAGGGUGUCAUUUGACCAGAGUCAAUAGGGAAUAGGGUGUCAUUUGACCAGAGCCAAUAGGGAAUAGGGUGUCAUUUGACCAGAGCCAAUAGGGAAUAGGGUACCAUUUGGGACUCAAACACGAAGUUCUCUGAUCAAUUUUGUUAUAUUUUUUAAUGUAUCCUAUAUUUAGCUUUGGAGUAAACUUCUAGAAUGGUUUGGAAGUUAUGGCAGCUAGGUUGGUCUCCAUUGAGGUUUAGGGCAAAAUGAAGCCCUACUUGUCGAGGGCAAAGCUUUGGCAGGAUGACAACACUCCGCUAGGUUUAGGUUGCCAUGGCACGGUAGGGUUGCCAUGGGUGAGCAGAGAGCUGACAUCUCAGGGUUCAUCUUCCGGAUGAAAUCUGACCUCAAAGGUUUAUUGUAAAGAUCUAGAAUCAGAUGUCUCUCACUUCAGCCCUAACCUUAACCAUUACUAGCAUGAACCAAUGCUGACCCUGUAUCAGAGCUUAACUAGUGAAUACAAUACAUAGUGGUUACCAACAUUACCCAACAUUACCUCUGGCCCUCCACAAGCCUCCUCUCAUCUCCUCUCAUCUCCUCUCAGCUCCUCUCAGCUCCUCUCAAGCCCAACAUUACCUCUGGCCCUCCACAAGCCUCCUCUCAGCUCCUCUCAGCUCCUCUCAAGCCCAACAUUACCUCUGGCCCUCCACAAGCCUCCUCUCAGCUCCUCUCAGCUCCUCUCAAGCCCGACAUUACCUCUGGCCCUCCACAAGCCUCCUCUCAGCUCCUCUCAGCUCCUCUCAAGCCCGACAUUACCUCUGGCCCUUCACAAGCCUCCUCUCAGCUCCUCUCAAGCCCAACAUUACCUCUGGCCCUCCACAAGCCUCCUCUCAGCUCCAACAUUACCUCUGGCCCUCCACAAGCCUCCUCUCAGCUCCAACAUUACCUCUGGCCCUCCACAAGCCUCCUCUCAGCUC